ensembl:lncRNA
GGCCAGACACGAGUAAACGUUGGGCAAGCUUUUCAGGAAUAGCGUGAACUGAAAGAAAAAGAAGACUGCAAAUAAGACGCCGACUUGGCCGUGUUGCUUUUGAAAUUGAAAGUACCCUUGGGUGAACUUUGUCUUCGUGGUAUUCUUGAUGUUGAUAGUCUCUGUACAAAUGUGUUUGCUCAACCAUUUUGUUGUGAGCCCUGUAAAAAUUGUUUUCUCAACCGUUUUGUUGUGAGCCCUGUAUGUUUCUAGCUUGCUUGGUUGCAACCAUAUAAACACCUUUGUUUCCAUGGGUGUUUUGCUGUUCGUCUGUCUCGUCCCCCAGAUACAGGCUGAAUCCCCGAAUCUAGAAUGGAGUGUACCGCACUAUUGGACAGAUUACCAUCAUCGUCAAGGGUGGUGAACCUCCAGCCCUCCUUUCUCCUCUGGUAGUGGACUACCUUCUGACAGGACGCAUCUUUCAGUUGAAGGUCACUCCAGAUGAUGUAGCUGACAUGGUACUGAGAGAAGCCCUGAAGAAGGUUGAUCAAGCAUUAACCACAGAUGAUCUGGAGCAAGCAGUGAAAUGCUGUGACUCAUGGAGAUACCUAACUCGAAGGUCUUCCGAACCCAGUCAGCAUGGUCAACAAAGAUGCAUUUGUGCAGAAUGCAAUACUUUUCGGUAACCCUUCCUUUUACAGUCCCCUAAUAACUAGGUAUUUACCCGGUACAUACAUGGUAAAUCAUAGUGUAUUACUGGGUAAUUACCACUGGUAAUAAGAAGGUAAAUACAGAGGUAGUUACCCGGCAAAUACAUGGUAAAUCAUAGUGUAUUACUGGGUAAUUACCACUGGUAAUAAGAAGGUAAAUACAGAGGAAUUAUCCGGUAAAUUAUAGUGUAUUACUGUGUAAUUACCACUGUUAAUAAGAAGGUAAAUACAGAGGAAUUACAGCUGAAGUACCAAGUAAAACCUCCACUAUUACCCAUCAACUCAACUAAGUAGCGUGUAGUUGUAACUGUUUUAGGUUGGUAAUAACUC